rnacentral:rRNA from 1 species
UACGUAGGGGGCAAGCGUUGUCCGGAAUCAUUGGGCGUAAAGAGCGCGUAGGCGGCCCUGUAAGUCCGCUGUGAAAGUCAAGGGCUCAACCCUUGAAUGCCGGUGGAUACUGCAGGGCUAGAGUCCGGAAGAGGCGAGUGGAAUUCCUGGUGUAGCGGUGAAAUGCGUAGAUAUCAGGAGGAACACCGGUGGCGAAGGCGGCCCUCUGGACGGAUACUGACGCUGAGGAGCGAAAGCCAGGGGAGCGAACGGG